UCCCCAGCAGUUCAGUGGUAGAGAAUCUGCCUGCAGUGCAGGAGAUGCAAGAGACACAGGUUCGAUCCCUGUAUCGGGAA
rfam:TPA: Bos taurus chromosome 12, whole genome shotgun sequence.